CCGACGGUGAGGGGUGAAAGCUGGGGGAGCAAACCGGAUUAGAUACCCGGGUAGUCCCAGCCGUAAACGAUGUGCGUUAGGUGUAUCGGUGACCACGAGUCACCGAGGUGCCGAAGAGAAAUCGUGAAACGUACCGCCUGGGAAGUACGGUCGCAAGGCUGAAACUUAAAGGAAUUGGCGGGGGAGCACCACAACAGGUGGAGCCUGCGGUUUAAUCGGACUCAACGCCGGGAAACUCACCAGAUAA
rnacentral:rRNA from 1 species